GAGAAACAACGGGGAGAAACAGGGAGGGCUGAUGCUGGGCGGAGGCCCAGGAUGGGGGGCUCUGCAGGGGCCUUUUGAGCCCAGGCCCCCGAAGUGUGAUGCUGGGGCUCUCUGUGUAGGUUCUAGGUGUCUGGAGGAGUGGGGCCCCUCCCCUGCUAGCCCCCCAAGGACUCUUCCUCGGAUCCUCGGACCUCAUGGAGGUGCGGGGGUGCGACGGGGUCCUUGGCACAGAGCAGCCCUCUGGUUGCAUGUGACAGCGGCGGCCAAGGUCUCCCCUGCGCAUAAAUGUGGAGCUCGCUCGGCAGCAGCAGAACUCCCGGCUCAGAGAGUUCUCCACCGCUCCUCCCAGGCUCACGAGGCUCACGGGCUACCCAGCGCCAGCGGCCCAGGAGGCUGGACCACAGGCCUCAGUCCCGACUUCUCCCUGCUGCCCGGCACGGGACCCUCCCCCAGGACAGCCACCUCCCAGUGCUGAAGAGCCGGCCCGCCUCAGAGCCGCCCGCCGUUCCUUUUUCCUAUGCAUAUACUUCUUUGAGGAUCUGGCCUAAAGAGACUACGAAGCUGCACCGUGUGGGGCCCACUUUUUAUACAAGCGGGUGGCGGUGGAUCCAGGCGCAGACGGGAGUGAGGCGUGGCGGAGACGCGUGCACGCUGGGUCUGUGCACUUUUGCUGCUGCUGCUUUUUUUUUUUUUUUUUUUUUUUGAGAUGGAGUCUCGUUCUGUCACCCAGGCUGGAGUGCAGUGGCGCGAUCUCGGCUCACUACAACCUCUGUCUCCCGGGUUUAAGCGACUUUCCUGUCUCAGCCUCCCAAGUAGCUGAAACGACAGGCGCCUGCCACCAUACCCGGCUAAUUUUUUUAUUUUUAGUAGAGAUAGGGUUUCACCUUGUUAGGCUGGUCUUGAACUCCUGACCUCAUGAUCCACCUCACUCGGCCUCCCAAAGUGCUGGGAUUACAGGCGUGAGCCACAGCGCCCGGCUGGCUGUUGCUUCUUAACACCUUUAUUACUUUUGUAAUCAUGGGUAUGAGUUGAUUUUCUGGUCAGAAAUUUCAGUAGAGCUAAUUUCAUUUAAAUGUGUGAGAUGUGGUAAAGUUUUGACAAUAAAUACAAAUUUUGACAAAGCAGCUCUGUCGUGCUGGUCUCCUCUCGUUCACGGUGGUUGGACGUCACAUUAGUCACGUGUGGACUUGGGGGAACUUAGUUAAAAAUGCAUAAACACGGGGGGAUGAAACGGCUCCUGGGGCCUCGGUUGGGGGCCUGGGCUGGGCACCGGUCUGGGGCCACCCUUCUGAUGACCAGAGCCUGGGACCGGCCGGCAGUGUUGGGAGAGCCCAGAGGGA
rnacentral:lncRNA from 1 species